rnacentral:rRNA from 1 species
GGGGCCAUCCCGGCUUACCAACCCGAUGCAAACUGCGAAUACCGGAGAAUGUUAUCACGGGAGACACACGGCGGGUGCUAACGUCCGUCGUGAAGAGGGAAACAACCCAGACCGCCAGCUAAGGUCCCAAAGUCAUGGUUAAGUGGGAAACGAUGUGGGAAGGCCCAGACAGCCAGGAUGUUGGCUUAGAAGCAGCCAUCAUUUAAAGAAAGCGUAAUAGCUCACUGGUCGAGUCGGCCUGCGCGGAAGAUGUAACGGGGCUAAACCAUGCACCGAAGCUGCGGCAGCGAACGUAUCACUUAAAGCGAUUCAGCGGGUUACGAUUGACGGAGCGAAGCGACGUCAAAGCGUAUACAAAGUCGAGUCGGUUUAAGGAUACGUUCGUUGGGUAGGGGAGCGUUCUGUAAGCCCGUGAAGGUGGCCUGUGAGGGUUGCUGGAGGUAUCAGAAGUGCGAAUGCUGACAUAAGUAACGAUAAAGCGGGUGAAAAGCCCGCUCGCCGGAAGACCAAGGGUUCCUGUCCAACGUUAAUCGGGGCAGGGUGAGUCGACCCCUAAGGCGAGGCCGAAAGGCGUAGUCGAUGGGAAACGGGUUAAUAUUCCCGUACUUGGUGUUACUGCGAAGGGGGGACGGAGAAGGCUAUGUUGGCCGGGCGACGGUUGUCCCGGUUUAAGCGUGUAGGUGUGUGUUCCAGGUAAAUCCGGUUCACUUUAACACUGAG